rnacentral:sRNA from 1 species
UCAAACCAUAACCUAACAACAACUCAGUCAAAACAUAAACCAUACUCAACCAUAUCAUAACAGACACUCAGCCAUAACAUAAACAAACUCAGCCGUCAUAUAACAGAAACUCAUCCAUCGAUGUAAGGUUAAACCAUAACUCAAUCACAGCAUAAAACAAACUCAGACAUAGAUGAAUUGAUAAAUCAUAAAUCAGUCGGCAAACAAACAGUAACUCAGCCGUCAAAUCAAAUAGAUCUAACAAAUCGGCCACCAUAUGUCAAUCAACGACGACGUUAAAAACCAGCUUUAAGCA